GCGACCCCAGGUCAGGCGGGAUCACCCGCUGAGUUUAAGCAUAUCAAUAAGCGGAGGAGAAGAAACUUACAAGGAUUCCCCUAGUAACGGCGAGCGAACCGGGAAUAGCCCAACUUGAGAAUCGGGCGG
rnacentral:rRNA from 1 species